rnacentral:rRNA from 1 species
CCUACGGGUGGCAGCAGUGAGGAAUAUUGGUCAAUGGACGAGAGUCUGAACCAGCCAAGUAGCGUGAAGGAUGACUGCCCUAUGGGUUGUAAACUUCUUUUAUAUGGGAAUAAAACGUUCCACGUGUGGGAUUUUGUAUGUACCAUAUGAAUAAGGAUCGGCUAACUCCGUGCCAGCAGCCGCGGUAAUACGGAGGAUCCGAGCGUUAUCCGGAUUUAUUGGGUUUAAAGGGAGCGUAGGUGGAUUGUUAAGUCAGUUGUGAAAGUUUGCGGCUCAACCGGAGAAUUGCAGUUGAAACUGGCAGUCUUGAGUACAGUAGAGGUGGGCGGAAUUCGUGGUGUAGCGGUGAAAUGCUUAGAUAUCACGAAGAACUCCGAUUGCGAAGGCAGUUCACUGGACUGCAACUGACACUGAGGCUCGAAAGUGUGGGUAUCAAACAGGAUUAGAUACCCCAGUAGUC